AUUGAACGCUAGCGGGAUGCCUUACACAUGCAAGUCGAACGGCAGCGCGGACUUCGGUCUGGCGGCGAGUGGCGAACGGGCGAGUAAUGUAUCGGAACGUGCCCAGUAGCGGGGGAUGACUACUCGAAAGAGUAGCUAAUACCGCAUACGCCCUACGGGGGAAAUGGGGGGAUCGCAAGACCUAGCGUUGAUUGGGCGGCCGAUAUCAGAUUCUCUAGUUGGUGGGGUAAGAGCCGACCAAGGCGACGAUCAGUAGCUGGUCUGAGAGAACGACCAGCCACACUGGAACUGAGACACGGUCCAGACUCCUACGGGAGGCAGCAGUGGGGAAUUUUGGACAAUGGGGGCAACCCUGAUCCAGCCAUUCCGCGUGAGUGAAGAAGGCCUUCGGGUUGUAAAGCUCUUUCGCAAGGGAAGAAAACUCGAUCUCUAAUAUAGGUUGAGGCUGACGGUACCUUGAUAAGAAGCACCGGCUAACUACGUGCCAGCCGCCGCGGUAA
rnacentral:rRNA from 1 species